rnacentral:rRNA from 1 species
CUAGCGACUUCAGAGUUUGAUCCUGGCUCAGGAUGAACGCUGGCGGCGUGCAUAACACAUUCAAGUCGAACGGUGAAGGGACUUCGGUCCCGGAUCAGUGGCGGACGGGUGAGUAACGCGUGAGUAACCUGCCUAUGCGUGUGGAAUAACACAGGGAAACUUGUGCUAAUACCGCAUAACAUGUAGCCUUCGCAUGUGGGCUACAUCAAAGAGCAAUUGCGCAUAGAUGGACUCGCGUCUGAUUAGCUAGUUGGUGAGGUAACGGCUCACCAAGGCGACGAUCAGUAGCCGAACUGAGAGGUUGAACGGCCACAUUGGAACUGAGAAACGGUCCAG